GAGCCUCUUCUCGGCCGCUGUUCUGAAUGCUGCUGCGGGUGGUGACAGAGCGGGUGGUCGUCGUGCAUCUCUAGUUCCCAAGCAGGAAAAAGUGCUCCUGAUUGAACAUAGACGAGCGUACAAUUGUGAGAUAAUGCUGACAAAAGUGAAGAUGCCACUGCCAGAAGUUGUUAAAGCAAUAC